rnacentral:rRNA from 1 species
CACUGUCACUCCUACGGGGAGGCAGCAGUGAGGAAUAUUGGACAAUGGGCGAAGCCUGAUCCAGCCAUGCCGCGUGCAGGAAGACUGCCCUAUGGGUUGUAAACUGCUUUUAUACAGGAAGAAUAAGUCCGACGUGUCGGAUGAUGACGGUACUGUAAGAAUAAGGAUCGGCUAACUCCGUGCCAGCAGCCGCGGUAAUACGGAGGAUUCGAGCGUUAUCCGGAAUCAUUGGGUUUAAAGGGUUCGUAGGCGGGUUUGUAAGUCAGGGGUGAAAGUUUACGGCUCAACCGUGAAAUUGCCUUUGAUACUGCAGAUCUUGAAUAUUUGUGAAGUAACUAGAAUAUGUGGUGUAGCGGUGAAAUGCAUAGAUAUCACAUGGAAUACCGAUUGCGAAGGCAGGUUACUAACAGAUUAUUGACGCUGAUGGACGAAAGCGUGGGUAGCGAACAGGAUUAGAUACCCUGGUAG